ensembl:miRNA
AGUUAAAUUUUAAUUUUGAAUAAACAAUGACUCUUUUUAGGAUAAGUAUAUCCUAUGCAAUAUUUGGGACAUACUUAUGCUAAAAAAUGUUUUUUAUCUGAAAUU